GGAAAUCAAUAAUGAACUUGGACCUGCCUGGGCUGACUCAUCAGAGGCAACAGCAGGGUGGGGUCCCAGGAGGCUGCAGAGAGCAAAAGCACAACUCCAAAUUUCUCAGGAGGCCCCAGGAAAUUAGUGGUCAGUGCCAGGAAAUAAUAGCAUCAGUCCGUAUCUAUAGGAGGGCACAGUCCUUGGCAGAUAUAUGUACGUACAUUCCACCUGCACGUUAACGGCAGCCUAAAUCAAGGCUCAUCUGUUUAAAUUAAGCCACACGGAAACACAUAGGUAGGAUACAGCGCACCAGUCAUUGUUGGUAUAUUUAUAUAAUUAGAGUGAUGACAAAUAUGAACAAGUCCUUUAUCAGAACUCACGGGGCUAUUAUUAUUAUUGUUAGGGUCCCUGAGAACAGUUACCUAUAAUUGAUCACAUCGCAUAUGCCAGAUGCUAGUGCUAAGUAUUUGACAUAAUAUGCUCAUUUAACCCUCAGAACAUCCUGAUGAUGUAAGUUUGUUCUCAUUUGACAGGUAUGGAAACUGAAGUGCAAGGAGAUUUAAAUAGAUGGUCCAAACUCACAUCACUAGGGUGCGGGGAAGGAAGGAUGACCCAGAUCUGCCGACUGCUGAGCGAUCCCAGUGCCAGCAGCCAGGUCACGGUGGAGUCCGGACCAGCCCCUUCAUCUCCUCUAGACUUGGGCUUUUCCUCUGUGUUGUCAGAGGCUGCCAUCAGCUCCGAUAAAGGGAACAUGAUUUCCACAGAGCAGAGAGACUUGCAGGUGAAUAUGGAGAUAUCGGGAAGACAUGAUUUGUCCUUGCCUUUCUUUGAAGGUGAAGCAAGUUCACACGAGGUGAGUUGUGGAGUUAGUGAAGGAAGGAAGGCUCUGAGCAUUUGGUUAGGAUGGGCCCACAGGUGGGAAAGUGGUGAGCUUUGCAGAAAGAUGCUGUGCUAAAUAAAACUAGAGCUUCGCAAGCAAAUGGAUUCAAUAGACUCCUGGACCAACAGGAAGAAGCAGUCUGUUGGGAAGUGGCCAAAGGCAUUAAGAAAUUGAGCAAAAGCCUCAGAAUUUAGGAGCCAAAGCAGAGGGUAUGAGAUGCCUCAGCUGACUUCGCAGACAAAGGAGACUAAUACAAGGUCUGUAUACAAAUAGCGUGUAGCCUAUUUCCAAAGCACACAGUUACCCAUUCUCCAUAAAUACCUAGUGCACAGGCAUCAAUAUUUCUCUUCUAUUCUUCCUUUUAGCUAACAUCAUGCUGGGCACAAAGGUGUUCAUAACUGUUGGUAGAUGCUUUGUAAUCAAGUCCUGAUGCAAACAUUAAAGAGUAGUUACUUAGUAGAUGAGGAAGCUGAGGCUCCCACUUGCUUACAGACCAAGGGUCAAACCCAGGGCUCAACUCCAACCCUGGCCUUACGGCUGGAAGUCCAUUUUUCCUUUCUGCACAAAUUCAUAGGAAUCACAUGUAUUCCUACAUCUACAUUCUGGCUCUCCCUUUCAAAUUAUGCCAUCCUAAAUCAUCUUACUGGAGCUAAUAGCAAGUAAUAAAAUGAGCAUAUUUCACUUUAUGUUCUUUCCU
ensembl:lncRNA